UUCUAAGAAUUUGGUAGAGUCACUUCACAUAUAUAUAUAUAUAUAUAUAUAUAUAUAUAUAUAUAUAUAUAUAUAUAUAUAUAUAUAUAUGUGAAGUGCUUUACCAAAUUCUUAGAAUGUUUUCAGUUCUUGAAAUUAGUCUUAUAACCAGCCAGACAUGCCAGCUUAAUUAAAGACUAUAUAUAUUUCAAGAAUCUUUCUCAAAGUGAGUAACUUUUAUUCUACGGAGUAUCUUUUUUCCACUCCCUGUAAUUGGUGGUCUUUCUUUCUUUCUUUCUUUCUUUUGCUAUACAUGGUUGAAUUAAUGAGGAUGAGUUCUUUUUUGUCUAUAAAGUGCAGUGUGAUUGUCUGCAAAGUCAAAUUCUGCAUUACAUACUCGAUGUAGCUUUUGUUUAACUCCACAAAGACGAUAACUUUGGAAUUGGAAUGUUUGUCUCCUCUUGUUGUUUAGAUCAUACUAUUUCUUACCCUUAGAUCCAUAAUCCGUCCCUCUUGAUUUGCUUCUUUUGUUGACGGCUCAGGUUGUUUAUAGUUUCUCUUUAGUUUAAAUUCCUUAGGGGGGGCUUCUGUAUCAAAGGUUGCAGCUUUGUGUUGUUUGAUUAGCAUUUUGGCUAUGUAGUGUAGAGUAAUUUUGCAUGGAAAUGUAUGGCUCCUGAAAUGCAUUUGUGAAUUGCAGUUAAUUUGCAAACCAAAACUAAAACUGAUGAGGUUUGUGGAAACCGGGCUGAUUGGGUUUUGGAAGGCGGAGGAAAGAAAUCCUUCAUGGAAGUUCCUCUUCUUGUUUUUCAUAUAUAGGCUGCUUUUGUGUUCUGGCUCGUGAUCGUGAUUUUUUGCCCUCUCUCUCUCUCUCUCU
rnacentral:lncRNA from 1 species